CCCUUAGAUGUUCUGGGCCGCACGCGUGCUACACUGAGUGGAUCAGCGGGUCAGGUUGCGCGAAAGCGUUUCCUAAUCUUUAAAUCCGCUCGUGAUGGGGAUUGACGGUUGCAAUUUUCUGUCAUGAACGAGGAAUACCUUGUAAGCGCGGGUCAUCAUCCCGCGCUGAAUACGUCCCUGCCCUUUGUACACACCGCCCGUCGCUCCUACCGAUUGAAUGUGCCAGUGAAAAGUUCGGAUUGGAGAUAGGAGACGGCAACGUAUCCUAUUUCCGAGAAAAUCUUUAAACUUUCCCAUUUAGAGGAAGGAGAAGUCGUAACA
rnacentral:rRNA from 1 species